rnacentral:rRNA from 1 species
AGCGAACGCUGGCGGCAGGCCUAACACAUGCAAGUCGAACGGACCCUUCGGGGUUAGUGGCGGACGGGUGAGUAACACGUGGGAACGUGCCUUUAGGUUCGGAAUAGCUCCUGGAAACGGGUGGUAAUGCCGAAUGUGCCCUUCGGGGGAAAGAUUUAUCGCCUUUAGAGCGGCCCGCGUCUGAUUAGCUUGUUGGUGGGGUAAUGGCCCACCAAGGCUACGAUCAGUAGCUGGUCUGAGAGGAUGACCAGCCACAUUGGGACUGAGACACGGCCCAAACUCCUACGGGAGGCGGCAGUGGGGAAUCUUGCGCAAUGGGCGAAAGCCUGACGCAGCCAUGCCGCGUGUAUGAUGAAGGUCUUAGGAUUGUAAAAUACUUUCACCGGUGAAGAUAAUGACUGUAGCCGGAGAAGAAGCCCCGGCUAACUUCGUGCCAGCAGCCGCGGUAAUACGAAGGGGGCUAGCGUUGCUCGGAAUUACUGGGCGUAAAGGGAGCGUAGGCGGACAUUUAAGUCAGGGGU